rnacentral:rRNA from 1 species
GACGAACGCUGGCGGCGUGCUUAACACAUGCAAGUCGAACGAUGAAGCCGGAGCUUGCUCUGGUGAAUUAGUGGCGAACGGGUGAGUAACACGUGAGUAACCUGCCCUUGACUCUGGGAUAACUGCUAGAAAUGGUAGCUAAUACCGGAUACGACCCUCGGAGGCAUCUCCAGGGGGUGGAAAGAAUUUCGGUCAAGGAUGGACUCGCGGCCAAUAAGCUAGUUGGUGAGGUAACGGCUCACCAAGGCGACGACGGGUAGCCGGCCUGAGAGGGUGGCCGGCCACACUGGGACUGAGACACGGCCCAGACGACUACGGGAGGCAGCAGUGGGGAAUAUUGCACAAUGGGCGCAAGCCUGAUGCAGCAACGCCGCGUGAGGGAUGACGGCCUUCGGGUUGUAAACCUCUUUUAGUAGGGAAGAAGCGAAAGUGACGGUACCUGCAGAAAAAGCACCGGCUAACUACGUGCCAGCAGCCGCCGCCG